CUUCGCCAUUGUGCUUCCCGAGUUGGUCGCCGCCCUGCAGCAACUCCCAUCACCGAGCCCCCUGCUCCAUCGUGCUUGACACACAGGUCAUGCUAGGGCUCCCUUGCCCUACCAGUGGUGGGUAUUCUUCAGGUCACACCAUCAGUAACACAGGCUAUUUCCACUUGAUCUUGCAUAAGUACAUCACGGAUAUCGAUUGAAUAAUCUAUGCCGAUGAAAGUUCUAUUUGUGCAAUUUUGCAGUUUUUGUUGCGGAGUUGUUGAUGAAAUUUCAAGCAGGCUAUAGGUGAGGAUAAAUAAACAAAAUUUGUGUUUCAGUUAAUCUAAUUUUCUAAACUUCGCACUAUUCAAUGUUAGUUAACAACUUAUUAAUGCUCAGCUUCAGUCAGGCCUCGUUCGUUUAAUACCUAGGUGGGUUGGAUUGAUCUGGAUUAGAGCCCGUUCCUGGUUUUCCUGCCCUGUCCGAUUUCUUUUCCAAACCUUCAAAAUUGGCUCUUCGCUUGGCUCCCCUUAUUGGGAUUGAUUUUGCCCGUGCCUCCCUACAUGCGCCAUGGGUCAUUGUCUGGUGAUUUCCAGCUGUGGUAAACCGGCUGGCUCUGUAGGUGAUGUGUUGAUCAUGGGGUGCCUCCUAACCCCAGUAGAAACGAAUCUGAACACUAAAAGCUGGUCCUCAAGGAUGUUGUGCUCACUCCGUUGCUUUCAAUGGAGGACCCCUGUCUGACACGCUUCCGUCUGCUCUUAUGGAGGAGCCGCGGGCAUGUUCCGAGAGGGAACAUGGAUUCGUCAAGCAACGACAAUGCAGCUCCAGCCUAUAUGCUGACAAACCUGGUUGAUGCAACCACGACAUUCCAGAUUGUCGACAUUCAGCGGUAUAUGAUGGAGUCCAUCCCAAUAAUUUUGCAGCCAUCUGGUCCAAGCGAUGCUUGCACAUCUUCCCCCGAGGGGUAAUAAAUUUCCUACCAGGAUUUUUGUUCUUUUGUGUUUUCCAUUAUAUCUGAAAUCAGUUAAAGCCGUUUCUCUGUUUCGCCAUCCUUCUGCUUCUAGAUAACACUUUUAACGAGGUUGCGAUGCCAUUCUGCUCCUAUCAUUUUAAACCAUGGGUUUAGGAGGCUAUUGGUAAACCACACUGCAAAGCUUCUGUUGUUAAAAUUCUGCCCCUAUUGAAAUACAUGCUUACCUGUUCGCAGACUGAAUUAUUAAAGCCGUCUCGCCAUAAAUACUGAUAUAUGUGCACAAUCCUAAAUGUUCUGAAAAAAUAUCUUGUCUCUUUGGUUAAUGUUUUAAGUCUAUAUAAUUAGAUUACCAUCCCUAACGCAAUUUUGAAAAACGCUUGCUGGUUUGAUGAACCACAUUGACAAUACACACAGACUGAAAAACUGUUGCUGGUUUGAUCCAUCUAAUUUGCCCGAUAUAAUAGUCGUUCAUCAUACUUACUAAAAUUCAGUUUAGACUGAUCAGCUUGAAUUACUUGAAUAGAACAUUCCAUAGUUGCCAUCCUUUUGUGAGUAAUAUUCUUUCGUGAAUGUAUGCCCUAUUCUGCAUCUUAGCUGGUUUAGACAAAUGAAAAGAAUUCCUUCACUGUUUACUAUCAACCACUGAAAAGAAUUCCUUCACUCUUCUUCCUCUGAUGACUGUCCACUUUCCUAAAUCGACCCGUUGCUGUAUUUAUCAAUUAUGUUAAAACAUUUGGCACGUUGGUGAUCAUAUUAUAAAAGAUUUGGUGUGUCAGUGCAUCAUAUUAUAGUUGAGCUGAAAUUACUCACAGGAGUGCGGUUUUACACACUGCAACUAUAUUCUUGUUACAAGUACAUGUUAACUUUUCUUAAUCUACAGUCGCAACUAAUAAGUCAUCGGCGUAUUCUAUGGUAUAUACAACACUCUGCAUGUUCAGUUAUCGUCUACAACUGUCAAUCGAGUACUGCAGGCUCAUCAACAGUACAAUCCAUCAACAGUUCAACACCAAUGUUAGAAUUAUAUUCGGUCGAAAUAAAUGCUCACCUGUUGCGCGGCCCAAUACAUAAUGUGAUGCAGAAUUUUUGUGUUACACUGUAGGUUAUUUACUGGGGAUAGUAUCAGGUACAUGUGAAUUCAACUGAGACUGAUGUCAUGCAAACAUUAUCGAGUACUUCAGACCAAUAUCAAAAGAGAUGCCUUGCUUGCUCAUCUCCAGUAUAAUCAUCAACAGCAAUAUUAGAAUUCUGUUUUUUUUUUCCGAGAUAAACGCUUACCAGUUGCUACGCCCAAUAAAGAAUGUGAUGCAGAAUUUGUGUGUCACAUUGUAGGUUAUUUACUGGGUUAGUAUCAAGUACAUGCGAAUGCAACUUAGACUGAAGUCAUAUACCAUGUGGUAUACGUGGUGAGCAAAACAAUUGUUAUACAAAGACUGAAGUCAUGCAAACAUUCAUGCUGAUAAAUGACAAUACAGUGCUGAAAUGAAUUCUGAUAUCUUCUAGGAGAUCUGAGCUCCAUUGAAAUAUGAAGCUGUGAGAAAUGAGGUAGUUAUCAUUUUCCCCUUCUACUGGAAUAAAUAUGUGGAUUUUGCCUGCCUAGCAUGUCGCUUUGUAAAAUUUCUUAAUAUCUCGGUUCAAAUAUUACAGCACGUCACUGAUAUAUCUGAUAUUCUCAUCCUAUAUCCAACAGGUUACUUGGACUGCUUGGGUCUUGUUUGAUGCCGUGUUCGUCACACCAUUAUUCCUUUUAAAAAGUACGAGAGAAUGCUAUACUUAUUGGUGUUUAGCAAAUUAUUGUUAGGAACUUCAUGUAUAUGACUUUUCAGGAGUCGGUCUAUUGUUUGCUUUGCAUUUUCUUUUAUCAGAGUUUAGUUUUGUAUACACAUUCACCAUUUUGUUUCCACUCUAUUUCUGGCGGGUAUAGUACUUGCCGAUGGGACAGGUUUUAUUUGUACAUAAAUAUAAAUCGA